AAGCUCGUAGUUGAAUUUUGGACCCGGCUGUUGUGGUCGGCCGCAUAGGUCUGUACUCUUCUGGCCGGGUCUUUCCUUCUGGAGAACCGCUAUGCCAUUCACUUGGUGUGACGGAGAUCCAGGACUUUUACCUUGAAAAAAUUAGAGUGUUUAAAGCAGGCAUAUGCUUGAAUACAUUAGCAUGGAAUAAUAGAAUAGGACUUUGGUUCUAUUUUGUUGGUUUCUAGGACCGCCGUAAUGAUGAAUAGGGACAGUCGGGGGCAUCAGUAUUCAGUUGCCGGAGGUGAAAUUCUUGGAUCUACUGAAGACUAACUACUGCGAAAGCAUUUGCCAAGGAUGUUUUCAUUAAUCAGGAACGAAAGUUAGGGGAUCGAAGACGAUCAGAUACCGUCGUAGUCUUAACCAUAAACUAUGCCGACUAGGGAUCGGACGAUGUUAUUUAGUUGACUCGUUCGGCA
rnacentral:rRNA from 1 species